CACGCGCGUCCCCAAUCAGUGAGCGUCUGACAGACAUGACCAGCCCCCGCCGCCGCCCCCUCCUCCGCUCCCGCUCGUCGGCGGCGCCGCCGCUGGACGACGACGACCUACUCUCCGAGAUCCUCCUCCGUCUCCCCCCGCUCCCGUCCUCCCUACCCCGCGCCUCCGCCGUCUGCAAGCGAUGGCGCAGCCUCGCCUCCGAUCCAGCCUUCUCCCGCCGCUUCCGCCUCCACCACCGCCGCAACCCUCCACUCCUCGGCUGCUUCCGCGGAGGUAUUCCCGAGCUCUGCUUCGAACCUACCAUGGGCGCCCCCAACGCCCGGGCGCCUCUCCUUGCAGUUUAAGUCCCACGUCCGAGUACUCGGGUGCCGCCAUGGCCUCGUGUUAAUCUUGGACCAGACGCCGCAGCUCCUGGUGUGGGACCCCGUCACUUGCCAGCAGCACCUCCUAGCCUAUUCCCCGGAGUUCGAUCCAGACAACUCCUUGAUCAAUGGGGCGGUGCUUCGCUCUGCUGCCGGUGCCGGAGACGUCCACUUCCAGGUCGUUUUGGUAGCGUCAGAGUAUGAAAAAAAGUUGCUCGCCUGUGUUUACUCUUCAGAGACUGGGGUGUGGGGUACUCUAUUCUCAACACCAAUGCCAUCCGGGAACUCCCUUCACACCAGGGUUUGUUUGGAGCACGCUGUGCUAGUUGGGGAUUCCCUUUACUGGAUACUCGCUGGUACCACUUUGUUCAAUCUCCUUGAGUUUGAUUUGAAGACGGAGAGCCUAGCCGUGAUACCGCUGCCGGCGGAUAAGUCUUAUGAUGCAGGACUCAAUAGUCCUGAAGGGCGCUUCACUGUCAUGCGCGCAGAGGGUGGUGGGCUGGGUUUGCUCUCUGUGUCAGGCUUCACCGCCCAACUAUGGAAGAGGAAGACCGAUUUUGAUGAUGUUGCAUCAUGGGGCAUGGGAAGAACUGUUGAACUGGACGAGCUCCUCUCCAUGGAUUCAAAGGAUUACUUAGACAUAGAAGGGUAUGCUGAGGACAAUAAUUUGGUGUUCCUGUGGACCGGUAGGAGCCUCUUCACGGUUAAGUUUGAGCCACUGCAGUGCAAGAAACUUUUCGACACCAACAAUCGGCGUUGCUAUUAUCCAUUUGAAACUGUCUAUGCUGCAGGUACCUAGAUUUGUAUUCUGGUUGCCGAGAUGCAGGAAGUGGCUUCUUCGAUGUUGGUUCUUCCCUUUUGUAUGCUUCACGCGAAGAUCAACCCUCUAUGUUGCGUGCGUGCGCGUGCCUGCCUCUUCUCUCUGUUUCCAUUUGAUUAUGUUCCGUGUUGUAUUAGGAACCUACUAUGUCUGCUGUGAUCGGUAUUAGAUUCGGCGUAGUCCAGUCCCAGCACCUGUCACUUCAGAGCUAUUUGAGGUCGUCAUCUGCAUGUCUCAGGAGUAAGAGGAAGUGUCAAGUAGGUAGUACUUGGCGCACACUAUAGAUUGACAAUUCACCAGAGAAAAAAGAAAAAGGAAUUCAGACAGGAAGAAUCAAAUCCUUCUUUACCAAAAGAAAGGAAACAAGUGUAAAGUCAGCACCCACCCAUUCAUAUUCUGCAGCAACAAACAAAGAAGCGGCCUUUGCUCCUCUCACUACUUCUCUUUGCACCGCACAUAAUUGCACAGCUAAUUUGUCACGCUUUUUAGGUAACCUGUUGCAGGAACCUACUAUGUCCACUGUGAUCGGUAUCAGAUUCCACGUAGUGCAAUGGCAGCACCUGUCGCUUUAGAGCUAUUUGAGGUUAAUUAUCUGCAUGUCUCAAGUGUAAGAGAAAAUGCUUAAAAUCGAUCGGUGCCUUAAGAACAGUUUCAAGUAGGCAGUACUUGGCAUGCAUUAUAGAUUGACAACAUAUCAGAGGAAGAAGGAAAGGGAAACCAAACAGGAAGAAUCAAACCCUGCUUUAUCUUUACCAAAAGGACAUGCUUUCUUAUGCCGCAGCAACAAGCAAAGAAGCUGCCUUUGCUCCUCUUCACUACCUUUUCUUGUGAGGAUGGAACUGGGAUAGCGGGAACCAGAGGCCUAAGCAAAGAAUCUUGUCCAGUUCUCUUCUUCAAUGAAAUGAGCUUCGGGUCAGUCGCAGCUUCUCCCAGCUCUUUAUAUCCCAUCCCCGAGAUCCUCCAUUGGUCAGACACACGGGUUCCAAGGACGCGAACCAAACGCACUCUUGUCCCAUUCGAGAGCACAGGCCCCCGUGCGUCCUCCUCAUCUGGCCAGAACUGCUGGUGGCGUCAUCUUUCUGUGCCUCCUGUACUGCCCGAGGAUGGACACCGCCAUUGGCGCAACGAAGUGGGUGCUGGGCAAGGCGCUGGCCCCCGUCACGGAUGGCUUGCUGGAGUCCUGGGCAGCUAGUGUUGAGCUUGAUCGCAACAUCGACGCCCUCAAGAUGGAGCUGCUGUAUGCGCAUGGGAUGCUUGAGAAUGCGCAGAGCAGGGACAUCCGUGGCAUUGCGCUCAAGGAGCUCCUCCGCAAGCUGCAGCAGCUGGCAUACGGGGCUGAUGAUGUGCUGGAUGAGCUGGAGUACUUCCGCAUCCAGGACGCCCUUAAAGGAACCUACCAUGCCACUGACAUGAAUGCUGUGGGUUCUGUCCAGGGCCUCCGCAUCAAUGUUGAACACACGGCGAGGCAUGUUACCAACAAACUUAAGUGCCUCCCGUGCUUGGGUGAUGCUAGCCGUGAUGGUGACCAAGAAAGUGAUCCCGGUGUUCACCAAGAAAGUGAUCCCGGUGUUCACCAAGAAAAUGAUGGCAAGCAAGGAUGCCUAUCUGGUGUACGCUUGUGUGGCAGGCAGAGCAUCGGCUCCUCGUCACUGACGCCCGCCAACAAGGGUGUCAAGAAGGUUGAUGGCAAAUGCAUGCCCAAGGUCAUCGCAACUGCUCGCAAUGCUGCCCACACUUUCGGUAAACACUUUCCAUGCUACUCUCCCAUAUCUGUCCAUGAUGAUGAUCCUCAACCUAUCAUUUCAGAGUGUGCAAGGCAGAGAGACUGUGAUAUAGAAAUACCAGAAUUGAUGUUUGAUAGGGUGCAAAUGUCUAAAACAAUGAUGGACAUGGUAGAGCAGCUGAAGGAAGUAUGUGCUAAGGUCUCCAUAAUUCUUAAUCUAGAUUUGUUGGGCUCCAGCCGUACCCAUACCAAAGAAAUUGCUAAAAACAGAUCCAAGACCACAUCAGAGAUUAUAGAACCUGAGUUAUACGGGAGGGAUGACCAAAAAAAGAAAAUUGUAGAUUGCAUUAUUAGUCGCGAGUACUGUCCCAAUAAACUUAACGUGCUUCCAAUUUUUGGACCGGGGGGUAUUGGAAAAACAACUUUUACGCAACACAUAUGCCAAGAAGUAAAUAGAUAUUUCCAGGCUUCAAUUUGGAUAUGUGUCUCUUUCGAUUUCAGUGCAGAUAGGUUGGCACAAGAGAUGGCCAAAAAAAUCGAUAGUGUUGUUGGUGAAAAGGUUAACGCUAGUGCCGACGAACUUAUCCAACAAAGAUUAAAAGCUAAGAGAUUCUUACUUGUCUUGGAUGAUGUCUGGACAUAUCAGGAGGAUGAGUGGAAAAAACUAAUAGCACCUUUAAAGAAGGUAGAGUCUGAGGGUAAUUUGAUUAUAGUCACAACCCGAAUACCAAAGGUAGCAGAAAUGGUUAAGACAACCAAUGGUGAACUAAAACUGGAAAGACUAGAUGAUGCAGACACCAUGCGUUUUUUUGAAACAUGUAUAUUUGGUAACAAGCAACAACCAUGGGAAGAACAUCCUGAAUUAUCUGAGAUUGGUCACAAAGUAGUGGACCAUUUGAAAGGUUCCCCUCUUGCAACUAAAACUGUAGGUAGAUUACUAAGAAACCAACUUACUUUGGACCAUUGGAAAAGGGUUCUAGAAAGCAAAGAGUGGGAAUUACAAACCAGUGAGAGUGACAUCAUGCCAGCCCUCAAACUUAGCUAUGAUUUUCUCCCUUUCCAUCUAAAACAAUUGUUUGUAUAUUGUGCUUUGUUUCCAGAAGAUUACGAAUUUGAUAGCAAGGAGUUAGUUCAACUGUGGAUAGGACUAGGUAUUUUGCAACCAUAUGAUCAAAAUAAAAGGACUGAAGAUGUUGGACUAGACCAUUUGAAUGAGUUGGUCAAUUACGGGUUUUUCAAGAAAGACAAAAAAAAAGAUGGUCGUUAUUAUUAUGUUAUUCAUGAUCUAUUGCAUGAAUUGGCUACCAAGGUUUCAUCGUAUGAAUGCGUUAGUAUAUCUAGUUCUAAUAUCAGGUCCAUACACAUCUCCUCGUAUAUACGUCAUUUAUCCAUAAUUGUAGAUGAUAAAGAUGUUAAUGAUAGAAUCAGUUUCGACGACUAUAAAAAGGAUUUGAGUGCAUUAGGUAAACGACUGAAAGUUGAAAACCUACGUACUCUGAUGUUGUUUGGACAAUACCAUGGAAGCUUCGCCAAGACCUUUUGUGAUCUGUUUAGAAAAGCUAAAGCACUUCGCACAAUUUUUCUAUCUGGAGCAUCAUACUCUAUGAAGGACAUUCUGCAUAACUUUUCAAAAACUAUCCAUCUUCGUUACCUAAGGAUUGAGCCAUCACAUAACACAGGCCACAUCGACUUGCCUAGUAUGCUGUUCAGAUUUUAUCAUCUAGAGAUAAUAAAUAUUGAAAAAUGCAACGUCCCUGUUUCGAUAAGACAUAUCACCAACCUUGUAAAGCUGCGUAAUAUGCCUCUAGUUCUUUCUGACAUACCUGAGGUGGGAAAACUUAAAUUGCUUUCAGAAUUAAGAAGAUUUGAAGUUGGAAAACAAACUAAUGGUUUCGAACUAAGUCAGCUAGCGCAAUUAACAGAGCUUGGAGGGUCACUUAGCAUUUAUAAUCUUGAAAAGGUGCAAGAAAAAGGGGCCCGGGGAAAGGAAAUAAGGCCAAUACACAGAAACCACUUGCGUGAACUAACAUUAGAGUGGGAUGUGCAACGAUCUAACACGGAUCCUACAAGAGAAGGAAAUGUUCUUGAAAAUCUUGUACCGCAUAGUGACCUUCGAGAUCUUUGCAUUAGAGGGCACGGAGGCACUAGUUGCCCAACAUGGCUAGGUGAGAACCUCUUGGUCAAAAAUUUGGAAUCUCUUCACUUGGCUGAUGUAUCUUGGAAAACUUUUCCACCAUUAGGAGAGUUCUGGUGGGUUGAUGAGCUCCGUGAUGAGUGCAAGUGUUGCAUCUCAAACCCAAACUUCCAAAAAAAAUGUCUUGAAAAAAAAGGUUUUCAAAAUUUGAAAAAGCUAGUGUUUGUUAAGAUGCCAAAGUUGACAAAGUGGGCUGGAAAUCAAACUUGCGGGUUCUUCUUCCACCUGGAAGUGCUCAUUAUUGAAGACUGCCCUGAACUUAAGGAGUUGCCGUUUUCAUGUUCUACUUGCUCUCAACCAGCGCAAGAAGGAGCAAACAUGACCUUGUUCCCUAGACUACGUGAGUUCACGGUUGUAGGAUGCCCAAACCUGAGGACAAUGCCUCCUAUCCCUUGGACCCGUACUCCAUGCUCCAUUAAGAUAGAACAAUCAGGAUCAAAUUUUCAGCUACGCACUUACUCAGAAGGAAUGUACAUACCAGGAUUACACUUGUCCAUUGUGGCAGCGGAUGGUACAGAUAGCUUGUUUUGGAAUAAGUUGUCUUUCUGUUAUUUGAGUGGUCUAAAAGAGUUUUCUCUAUUCAAUUGCCCUCCUUUGCCCUUGCACAUGAUCCAAAUGCUAACAUCUCUGCAGCACCUCACUAUAACGGGUCGUUCGAGUAUUGUUCUGUCGCCAAUCAGAGGCGAGAGCCAUGUCACAUAUGAGGUUCCAGUUGAAGAACUCUGCAUUUCUGACAGUGGGGCUAGCGGGAAAGAACUGACUCAACUGCUCUCUCAUUUACCCAAGCUCACCAGCCUGAGUAUAGCUGAUUGCGAAAAGAUAACAGAACUUGGUGUGUCUAAUCAGCAGAGUGGAUCACAGCAGCAACACACAAACGAAGAGGAGGAAAUAGUGGCGAUGGCAGAAGGAGGACUGCUGCUCUUGCCUACCCAACUACAGGAGUUAAAAGUCUACAAUUGCCGUGAGCUGAGAAUAGUCCCCAAUUCUGGUUCAGGGGGCGGCAACAACGAAGCAGCAGGAGGUCUCCAGCGUCUACGCUCCCUCCGCCGAGUGAUCGCAGAUGGUUGCUCCAAUUUGCUUUCCUCCUAUUCGGGCUCCUCCUCGUCUUGUUUCCCUUUCCCGACCUCCCUUGAAACACUCGAACUAGUCAACGUUGAACAAGUCAUUUUGGAUCUCACAAACCUAUGCAACCUGGAAGUACUCCAUCUUGGCCACAUGGAGGACCUCACAAAACUAAGCGUCAGCCGUUCCUCAAAACUACAUACCUUGAGCAUACGAGUUUUGGCAGAGUCCAUCUGCAGCCUGCUCUCUACCUCCCUCACCACAUUGUCCUUCUAUCUUAGCAAAGAGGUGGAGCCCAUCAGAGGAGAGGCCCUAGUGCUUCUCACCUCCCUCCAAGAACUCUACUUUAUUUCCUGCCACAAAUUGCAGUUCCUCCCUGCAGGUCUACAUACACUUGCCAGCAUCAAGCAAUUAUAUAUCAGUGGAUGCCCAUCCCUCCAGUCGCUGCCCAAGGACUGCCUCCCGAGGUCUUUGCAGAAAUUAGAGAUCCGCUUAUGUUCCAUGAAAGCAUUGCCCAAGGAUGGCCUCCCGAGUUCUCUGCAGCAAUUACUGAUCUACGGGUGUUCUAAGCUCGAAUUGCUUCCCACUUUUUCGGACGGCCUCCCAACUUCUCUGGGAAAAUUAAAGAUUGAGGAUUGUCCUGCCAUCAAAUCGGUGCCCAAGGACGCCCUCCCGAGUUCUCUGCAUGAAUUAUGCAUCAUGAGUUGUCCUGAAAUCAAAUCACUUCCCGAGGACGGGCUCCCCAAAUCCUUGCGAGUACUAGAUGUGUUCAGUUACGGCAACAGCGAGCAGCUUAAAAGGCAGUGCCGCAGGUUAAUAGGGACGAUUCCAAUAAUCUUCGUCUGACAAUUCCUUCCAAGGGCUCUCUUUUUUCUCCUUGAUUGGUUCAUCAUCAGCCCUCGUAGAAGUCUCUCUGUAUACAAAGUGUAGUUCGUUCUCAGGCUCUCAUGAGUUUUUGCUAGUGCAAGUACCAAGAUUCAGUCUGUAUCAUCCAUCAUGGCUCUCUUUUUGUUUUUUACAUCGUCAGCGUCGUACAACUCUCUCUGUAUACAAGUGUAGUUCGUUCUCAGGCUCUCAUCAGUUUUUGCCACUGCAAGCACCAAGACUUCAGUCUGUAUCUCAUCCGCCAUGAUUUUAUCUUCUUUUCGGUGCAGCAAGUUUCUUCUGACCAAUCCAAGGGUCUGCUUUUCGCCUUUUCUGUUUGUAAAUCUUCUACCCUGGUUGAAUUCUCUCCGUAUCCAAGCACAGUCCUCUGACACUCAGUUGCCACUGCGAGCACGAAUUGUAUCUUGCAUCCUGUGCAUGAUCUGUGCUCUACCUUGGAGUUGCACAUCUCUGAGCCCUUCGAGGACUCACAGUUCUCACAUGGGGGUCUUGUGGCUUGCUCUGCCUGUACAUAAAAUCUGGACUCUAUCCUGGAAUUAUCCACUUUUGUACACUUGUAGGAUUUCUACAAGCGUUAUAGAUCUGAUUUAGGAGCACUGCAAAUUUCACUACAAGGAAAUGGAUCAUGAUUCACAACAGCAACAUGAAGUGAAGUCUCACAAAUUCAUCAUGUGACAUUUUGAAUUUGUUCUGAAUUUUGUAAAAAAAAUCUCAAGUUUUCUCCAUGUAUGAAGGGUUAUGGGAACCACCAGGUGCUGAUGAUUUGUACGCUGCAAAUCUGUUUACGUGCAAACUAACCUCACUUACCAAUGGGUGAUGCAUUAUCAAUAUCGGUAAAAGGUGUGGUCCUGCCAGUUCAGGCGGACCUGGUUCUCCUGGUAAGCAAGUUGUAAUGACAUGAUUAAGUUAAGUCCAGCUGAAGAAAUGCUAUCCUGGAGAUCUCAAUAUGUAUCUUCCAGUCUGUCCAUAAUCUGGACUCUCUGUCUUGGGAGUUGUACAUUUUUCUACCAUAGUGGGAUUCAGUCCACCAAUGCAUGAUGCAUAGUUCUCACAUGACAGUCUUGUGUUAUCUUCUUCAGGCACAUAAAUCUGGUGUUCUUAUCUCCUCUGCUAUGCUUCAAAAUAGUGCAUUUAAAGCUUCGUGGUCACUCAUGAAGACAUGGUGGUGUACUUGCUAGUUCAGGACUAAAUGGUUUUCGAGUUUACUAAGCUUCCACAACCUUUUUAUAGAGUUAACAUUUUCAGGUUUGCAUUUCAUCAUGACAAUAUGUUCUCCAAGCCGAUCAUCCUUUUAUCUUAUGUUGCUAGCCUCAUCAGUACUUGGCAUUGCAUUUCCUACAAUGGGAUCUAGCAUACUCCACCGGUACAUCCCCAACCCCUUGUGGAGUUUCUCACUAAAAAGAGUGUGAGCGUGAGAGGUAAGAAACCAAGUUUGAUAGAACAGUUGAAUCAACCGUGAGAGAAAAAAAAAGGCCAAAAGGCAAAAUUAGCCCAAAAAAGAAUAAAAAGAAAAGAGAAACUCCCGUUAACCUAUUCAGUUUUCCAAUGAGUCCAUCAUAUCUACCUAUCAUAGCACCUCCUCAUUUGCUAUUCCAAGUAGUGGAUUCUUUUGCCAUGCACAUUCAUAUUUUGCUUUGCACAUCUUUUAAGGAGGCAUAUUGGUCAUCAUUAUUAGCUCUUGUUGAAACUCACCAACCAUUUUUGCUUUUAUUUUCAUAUAUUAGAGCUUUGGUUGGCACCUUUCAUUCUUUUGUUGGGCAGAGAAAAGGAAAGAAAAAAGAAAAAAAAGGAAAAAAAGAAAAAGGAAAAGGAAAAGGAAAAAGGAAAAAAGACAAAAGAGAUAGUAAAAAAAGAAGAGGUAAAGUAGAAUAGGAUAGGUGCCAUGUUUUCUCUCUAUCAAGCUCUCAGUCUUCAUUUAGAGCGAGAUGAGUCUUAUUGCUUAGGCUUUAUACUUAUCACUUUUCUUACCCAUUUAUUCAUCAUGUAGAGCUUAGCACUCAUAGCUAAUUCUGUUCAUCUUGUGGGAUGGUUUAUUUGCAUAUGCUUAGUAGGACUUCAUAUCCAUUGUGCAUAUCUUGGCAAAUCCCUACUUCCCAUGCAACAUCGAAACCGAGGACAUCACACAUGCCUUGGGGUCACUCUGCGUUACAUGGGCCUAUCUUUUCCUUGUCGAGUCACUCCCAUCCUUUCACAUCAUUUUCUAAUGAUCGGAAACACGAGGCUUCUUGGUUCAUGGUGAUUGCUUACUUGACUAUGUGAUCCGUGCUUCCCAAGACAUGAAUUGGGAGCUCAAGGUGGGUUGAAUCCUUGGAAUGAUGUGUCUAAAAAGACUUUGUACAUGAAGCAUAUAUGGUACUAGAGCUACAGCUUUGAAUGGACACUUAAGAGUCAACUUCCUCAAGAUCCACGACCCUGAUCACUUGACCAUUUACCCCUGACGCACGAGCUGUGAGGAGGGCAAGAUGUCGCGGGCGGUGGUGCCGCUGGACGACGAAAACCUACUUCCCCAUGCCUGCCUCGUUUGCAACUGCUGGCGUCGCAUCGUAUCCGACAUCAUCAUUUUCCACAGCUCAGGCCUCCUAAGUUGCUUCGUCAGCAACCUGCGAGGUUUCUCCUACACAACUACCAUGGGAGCGCCAGAUCGUGUCCCCGCCGGGCAAGGCUCAUGGCUCUUGGAUCCACGACACUGAUCACUUCAUUGGUUCUGGUGGACAACCAAUAGGUUCCCUGGAAUUGCCGAGGAGAUUCACUCAAUGAACCGCUUUCAGCAGAACCGUUGGGAAUUUUACUCUGGUGUGACAACGCGUUGAAUCGCUCGCUAGUAGCCCGAGUUGCAAUUUCAUGGAGUGUCUGAAGCUUGAAGUUUUCCUUGUGUUUAUGUAAUUAUUAUGAUCUGAAAAACAAAUUCAUUGCGGUGUCUGGUUUAGUUUAGUUUUAUGUCACAACUUCUGCUUCUGUAGCAAGGAUUGACAAAUUCUUUGUAUACCAACUGAGCUACAUUCUAUGCAUUCCGCAGUCUAAUUUCUUCA